GACGAACGCUGGCGGCGUGCUUAACACAUGCAAGUCGAACGGAAAGGCCCUGCUUUUGUGGGGUGCUCGAGUGGCGAACGGGUGAGUAGCACGUGAGUAACCUGCCCUUGACUUUGGGAUAACUUCAGGAAACUGGGGCUAAUACCGGAUAGGAGCUCCUGCUGCAUGGUGGGGGUUGGAAAGUUUCGGCGGUUGGGGAUGGACUCGCGGCUUAUCAGCUUGUUGGUGGGGUAGUGGCUUACCAAGGCUUCGACGGGUAGCCGGCCUGAGAGGGUGACCGGCCACAUUGGGACUGAGAUACGGCCCAGACUCCUACGGGAGGCAGCAGUGGGGAAUAUUGCACAAUGGGCGGAAGCCUGAUGCAGCAACGCCGCGUGCGGGAUGACGGCCUUCGGGUUGUAAACCGCUUUCGCCUGUGACGAAGCGUGAGUGACGGUAAUGGGUAAAGAAGCACCGGCUAACUACGUG
rnacentral:rRNA from 1 species